rnacentral:tRNA from 1 species
GGAGAGGUGUCCGAACUGGAUAAGGAGCCGGACUUGAAAUCCGGUAAGCCCUUGGUAAGGGCGAUGUGGGUUCGAGUCCCACCCUCUCCGCCA